GUUAAAAGCUAGGGCUAGGACUUGGAGGAUGUGUAGGCAAACGGAAGGAGAGCCGGGGGAAGAAAAACCGAAAUGGAUUCAUUCUCUGUCCUGGAUGGAGGAGGAGAGGAGAAGAGAAGGGGACGUGCGAGCUUCCUUCAACUGCCUCUGUCCGGUGAAAAGUGCUCAGAC
rfam:Gavia stellata contig28080, whole genome shotgun sequence.